GUCGACAAAAUACAAAACAAGCGUAACGGCGUAAGCGUAACCUCCAAGUGCGAGUCGACUGGAUUUGUAAAGAAAUUGCUCGAUAUGUAAGAACGGAAACCCAGGAACCGAAGGAUCAAGCCCACGAUUUUCCCUCCGCUGUGCUGACUCAUGGCGCCAUUGUUGCUCAUCACAAACAAGUGACUCUUGCCAACGUCAGGCUGACUUUUCAGCAAAGAGCGGCAGAGAAGAAGAAUCCAAUAUCAGCUGUGAUGUACAGGAUUGCAGAGGAAUAUUUUCAAAAAUGCCGACUGUCUUUCAAAAGGUUCGAAAUGGAAGAUUUAUUCAUUCACCCAAGAAACGAGUCGAAAUACUCUAAUGUCAAUUGACCCAUUCCAAUCCCCAGCAACGUCAAACUGCAGAAGGAAAG